GACGAACGCUGGCGGCGUGCUUAACACAUGCAAGUCGAACGGAAAGGCCUCUUUCGGGGGGUACUCGAGUGGCGAACGGGUGAGUAACACGUGAGUAACCUGCCCUUGACUUUGGGAUAACUUCAGGAAACUGGGGCUAAUACCGGAUAGGAGCUCCUGCUGCAUGGUGGGGGUUGGAAAGUUUCGGCGGUUGGGGAUGGACUCGCGGCUUAUCAGCUUGUUGGUGGGGUAGUGGCUUACCAAGGCUUUGACGGGUAGCCGGCCUGAGAGGGUGACCGGCCAAAUUGGGACUGAGAUACGGCCCAGACUCCUACGGGAGGCAGCAGUGGGGAAUAUUGCACAAUGGGUGGAAGCCUGAUGCAGCAACGCCGUGUGGGGGAUGACGGCCUUCGGGUUGUAAACCGCUUUCGCCCAUGACGAAGCUUUGGGGGAGGGUAGGGGGAAAAAAAGCCCCGGCAAACUACGU
rnacentral:rRNA from 1 species